rnacentral:rRNA from 1 species
AAUUAUUAAAGUCAGUUUUAGUAAAAUUAAUAGAUUUAAGUAAAAUAAUAUUUAAGAUAGUAAGUAGUAGUAUUAUGUAAAGAAUUUAUGUAAAUAUAGUAACUGUAAAGGUUUUAAUUGAAAUAUAAAAAUAAAAAAUUAAGAAAAAGUAGAUAAUUGUUGUACCUUUUGUAUCAGGGUUUAUUAAUAUAAAUUACUUUAAAUGUAAUUUCUCGAAUCGAGAAGAGUUAUAACAACUUGUUUUAUUAUGUAGAAAAAUAAUAAGUAAAUUUGUUGUAGGGACGAAAUGUUAGUCGUUUCUUGAGAUAUCUGGUUGUUUAUGAAAUAGAUUUAAUCUAGUCUUGUAUUUAAAAUUAAAAGUAAUGUUUUUAAAUGUAUGCGAGGGUAAAAUUGAGAGGGAUCAGCUUUUUAAUUAGGGUAGAUAUGAUUAGUAUUUAGUAUAUGUAGGCUUGAAAGUAGCAAUCAUAAAUAGUGUGUAAUAACUAAUAUUAUAAUAUAAAUAUUUAAAUUAUAUUACAUUUAUAAUAAACAAAUUAAUUUAAUUAAUAAAUUAAAAUUAUAAUGAUAAAAUUAUUAAAUUUUAAAAGUUUAAGUAAGGAACUCGGCAAAUAUAUUGUUUGACUGUUUAACAAAAACAUAGCUUCUUGUGUAUAUAGGAGGUAUAACCUGCCCACUGAAGAAUUAAAUGGCCGCGGUAUUUUGACCGUGCAAAGGUAGCAUAAUCAUUAGUCUUUUAAUUGGAGGCUGGAAUGAAGGGUUGCACAUAAUAAUAGCUGUCUCACUUAAAUAAAUAAAUUUAACUUUUAAGUGAAAAGGCUUAAAUAUAUUAAGGGGACGAGAAGACCCUAUAGAGCUUUAUUAAUAAAAUACUUAUAUCUUUAGAAGAAAUUAAAUAUAAAUGUUAGUUUAAUUGGAUUGGGGUGAUAAGAAAAUAAUAUAACUUUUCUAAAUAAAACAAUAAUAAUUGAUCAUAAGAUCCUUUAAUAAAGAUUAAAAGUUUAAGUUACCUUAGGGAUAACAGCGUAAUUCUUUUGGAGAGUUCUUAUCGAUAAAAGAGUUUGCGACCUCGAUGUUGGACUAAGAAAAGUAUUAGGGGCAGCCCCUUAAAUAACUAGGUCUGUUCGACCUUUAAAUUCUUACAUGAUCUGAGUUCAGACCGGCGUGAGCCAGGUCGGUUUCUAUCUUUUAUAAUUUAUACUUUUUUAGUACGAAAGGACCAAAAAGUAAAGAUAAUCUUAAAAUAAAGAAUAGGAGUAAU